CAAAUACUCCCUCCGUCUGGAAAUACUUGUCAUCAAAAUGGAUAAAAGGAAAUGUAUCUAGACGUAUUUUAGUUUUAGAUACAUCUCUUUUUAUCCAUUUUGAUGACAAGUAUUUUCGGACGGAGGGAGUAUUUA
rfam:Triticum aestivum genome assembly, contig: Triticum_aestivum_CS42_TGACv1_scaffold_529657_6DL